GAUGAACGCUGGCGGCGUGCCUAAUACAUGCAAGUCGAGCGAACGGACGAGAAGCUUGCUUCUCUGAUGUUAGCGGCGGACGGGUGAGUAACACGUGGAUAACCUACCUAUAAGACUGGGAUAACUUCGGGAAACCGGAUCUAAUACCGGAUAAUAUUUUGAACCGCAUGGUUCAAAAGUGAAAGACGGUCUUGCUGUCACUUAUAGAUGGAUCCGCGCUGCAUUAGCUAGUUGGUAAGGUAACGGCUUACCAAGGCAACGAUGCAUAGCCGACCUGAGAGGGUGAUCGGCCACACUGGAACUGAGACACGGUCCAGACUCCUACGGGAGGCAGCAGUAGGGAAUCUUCCGCAAUGGGCGAAAGCCUGACGGAGCAACGCCGCGUGAGUGAUGAAGGUCUUCGGAUCGUAAACCUCUGUUAUUAGGGAAGAACAUAUGUGUAAGUAAAUGUGCACAUCUUGACGGUACCUAAUCAGAAAGCAACGGCUAACUACGUG
rnacentral:rRNA from 1 species